CCUCCCUUGUUCAUGUCACAGUAGACACUCAGUGCAGUGGGAGAGCCAUCUGGACGAAUCACAUACAGCCCACUGGCCACGUUACCAUCUGCAAACACCUCGGAGCAGUCUGAAUGAACAAACAAAAAGAUAUACAAGGUUAUCAGGGACUAGGUGUGAGGUGGGUAUGCGCUCCAGCUGCUGGGCCUGCCUGUUGUGGAGCUCCUGGAUGUAGCGAUGCUGGUCGUUGAUCACGUUCAUCAGUCCCUGGAUCUCCGCUUCCACACGGACCACCUUCUCCUCACAUGGCAUAGGGGCCUGGACAGAGAAAGCAAGACAAGAAUAGUAACACCGGUACUAAUAGACCGUACACCGAGGGUUACCCUGGACUUUAAGGGUAUUUCUGCCUCCGGAGCUGCAGAGUCUGGAUCUGUGGUUGAGGGCCACCUGCUGCCCCC